UAGAUCUUUAGUCUUCUUUAAAUGAAUCAGAUAAUCGUAUUUAAAAUAUUAAAUCAUGAUUAAUUUUUAUUUCAUAUAUUCAAUAAAAUUAAAUAAUAAAAAAAAUGGUUGACUGGGUGACCAGUCUGAUGGACCAUCCAGGCACUAAAUCGAUUCGGGGUCAUCUUGCUGAGGUCAACAUGAAUCCCUAAAAGAGGAAAAGAUAGCCCGAUACAAGAUCUAUGGUCUUUCUUAGAG
rnacentral:lncRNA from 1 species